rnacentral:rRNA from 1 species
UACGUAGGAUCCAAGCGUUGUCCGGAAUUACUGGGCGUAAAGCGUGCGCAGGCGGUUGUGCAAGACAGAUGUGAAAUCCCCGGGCUCAACCUGGGAAUUGCAUUUGUGACUGCACGGCUAGAGUGUGUCAGAGGGGGGUAGAAUUCCACGUGUAGCAGUGAAAUGCGUAGAGAUGUGGAGGAAUACCGAUGGCGAAGGCAGCCCCCUGGGAUAACACUGACGCUCAUGCGCGAAAGCGUGGGGAGCAAACAGG